UGGGGAAUUUUGGACAAUGGGCGAAAGCCUGAUCCAGCAAUGCCGCGUGUGUGAAGAAGGCCUUCGGGUUGUAAAGCACUUUUGUCCGGAAAGAAAUCCUUGGCUCUAAUACAGUCGGGGGAUGACGGUACCGGAAGAAUAAGCACCGGCUAACUACGUGCCAGCAGCCGCGGUAAUACGUAGGGUGCAAGCGUUAAUCGGAAUUACUGGGCGUAAAGCGUGCGCAGGCGGUUUGCUAAGACCGAUGUGAAAUCCCCGGGCUCAACCUGGGAACUGCAUUGGUGACUGGCAGGCUAGAGUAUGGCAGAGGGGGGUAGAAUUCCACGUGUAGCAGUGAAAUGCGUAGAGAUGUGGAGGAAUACCGAUGGCGAAGGCAGCCCCCUGGGCCAAUACUGACGCUCAUGCACGAAAGCGUGGGGAGCAAACAGGAUUAGAUACCCUGGUAGUCCACGCCCUAAACGAUGUCAACUAGUUGUUGGGGAUUCAUUUCCUUAGUAACGUAGCUAACGCGUGAAGUUGACCGCCUGGGGAGUACGGUCGCAAGAUUAAAACUUAAGGAAUUGACGGGGUCAUAGCUGUUUCCU
rnacentral:rRNA from 1 species